GGCCUGGUAGCUCAGUCUGGUAGAGCAUUGGACUCUUAAUCCAAGUGUCGCGGGUUCGAAUCCCGUCCGGGUCA
rnacentral:tRNA from 1 species